UACGUAGGGUGCGAGCGUUAUCCGGAAUUAUUGGGCGUAAAGGGCUCGUAGGCGGUUUGUCGCGUCGGGAGUGAAAACGCCGUGCUUAACACGGCGCUUGCUUUCGAUACGGGCAGACUAGAGGUAUGCAGGGGAGAACGGAAUUCCUGGUGUAGCGGUGAAAUGCGCAGAUAUCAGGAGGAACACCGAUGGCGAAGGCAGGUCUCUGGGCAUUAACUGACGCUGAGGAGCGAAAGCAUGGGGAGCGAACAGG
rnacentral:rRNA from 1 species